UACAGAGGGGGCAAGCGUUGUUCGGAAUUACUGGGCGUAAAAGGGCGCGUAGGCGGCCUGUUAAGUCGAACGUGAAAUCCCUCGGCUCAACCGAGGAACUGCAUCCGAUACUGGCGGGCUUGAAUCCGGGAGAGGGAUGUGGAAUUCCAGGUGUAGCGGUGAAAUGCGUAGAUAUCUGGAGGAACACCGGUGGCGAAGGCGGCAUCCUGGACCGGUAGUUGACGCUGAGGCGCGAAAGCUAGGGGAGCAAACGGGG
rnacentral:rRNA from 1 species